CCCUUAGAUGUUCUGGGCUGCACGCGUGCUACACUGAUAUUGCCAAUAUGUCAUUCUUAUCCGAAAUGGAUUGGGUGAUCAAGUAAUGAAAUUUCAUGCUUGGAAUCGGUAAUUGCAAUUUUAUCGUGAACGAGGAGUUCCUAGUAAGCACUAGUCAUCAGCUAAUGUUGAUUAUGUCCCUGCCCUUUGUACACACCGCCCGUCGCUACUACUGUUUGGGUGUUCAAGUGAGAUGCUUAGACCCUUGUUGCAUGGUUCAUUAUUGUGCUCCGAAAGGAAAAAGUUUCAAGCUUGAGUGUCUAGAGGAAGUAAAAGUCGUAACA
rnacentral:rRNA from 1 species